UAAAGUCAGGUCUAACUUCCUUAAUAAACGAGUCUGCAGCCUGCUCUGCUGCUCACUGACUCUCGGUGCCUGAGUCGUUGGUGCUACAUCUUCUCACCGCCUACCCCAAGGGGUGUCCGAGCAGAGCACCCGCAACAUCUGGUCUCUAGACAUGGGACUUGGGGAUCUCGUGCUGGCAUGGGUCUCAGCCCGCUUGAAUCAGGGUAGAAUUUUUUUCCAUCGCCACAGCUGCUUUGUGUUUGGGCCCUGAUCCUUACCUUUUGUUGCUGGCAGUGCAUCGUGGGAUCCUACAUUGGUGCAAUUUGGCUUUCACUAUCUGCACCCUUUUGGACUCCUCUUCACGCUCACAGCACGUUCCUGCGCCCCCUCUCCGGGGACUUGUCCGGGCUGCACGGCUUGCAUUCAUCUCCUAUAUCAAGAGGAUGUGUUCUUCCUAGCACAGAGCAGUGAGCUCCAUGAUGUCUUCUUCGCCGAUACUUUCUUCUGAGGACUUACUCCUGGCUUUCGCAGCAGCACAUUUUUUAUCUGGGACCUUUUCCUGUUGACAUUUCGCAGUUGAUUGCAGCUUUGCUUGGCUGGAGCUCCUUGUCUUUAUCUUAAUCUGCUUCCCCCCCCCCCCCGCACAAGGUGUUAGUAAGUUGAUUUCUCUCUACUGUUUUUCUCUCUCUCCUCCCUAAUUCUUGCUUUCUUCAGAUGGCUCCACUUUUCCAGAUUAUCGUAGGAAUAAAAUUGUCACUCAAAA